rnacentral:snoRNA from 1 species
UGCAAAUGAUGCUUUUUCUCACGAUGGUCUUCCAAGCCUUCUGGGUUUUGACGACAAUGCCUAUUGGCAAUGCUGAUGCAGUCCA